rnacentral:rRNA from 1 species
AUUGAACGCUGGCGGCAGGCCUAACACAUGCAAGUCGAGCGAGCGGCGGAAGGGUGAGUAAGGUAUGGGGAUCUGCCCGAUAGAGGGGGAUAACUACUGGAAACGGUGGCGAAGACAGCAUACUAUCGGAUGAACAGAUAUUGGAUUAGCUAGUAGGUGGGGUAAACGCUCACCUAGGCGACGAUCUCUAGCUGGUCUGAGAGGAUGAUCGGCCACACUGGGACUGAGACACGGCCCAGACCCCUACGGGAGGCAGCAGUGGGGAAUAUUGCACAAUGGGCGCAAGCCUGAUGCAGCCAUGCCGCGUGUAUGAAGAAGGCCUUAGGGUUGUAAAGUACUUUCAGCGGGGAGGCGUUACCCGCAGAAUCUUCACCGUCUCGCUCCGUGCCAGCAGCCGCGGUAAUAC